GCGUAAGCGCACGCAGGCGGUCUGUCAAGUCGGAUGUGAAAUCCCCGGGCUCAACCUGGGAACUGCAUUCGAAACUGGCAGGCUAGAGUCUUGUAGAGGGGGGUAGAAUUCCAGGUGUAGCGGUGAAAUGCGUAGAGAUCUGGAGGAAUACCGGUGGCGAAGGCGGCCCCCUGGACAGAGACUGACGCUCAGGUGCGAAAGCGUGGGGAGCAAACAGGAUUAGAUACCCUGGUAGUCCACGCCGUAAACGAUGUCGACUUGGAGGUUGUGCCCUUGAGGCGUGGCUUCCGGAGCUAACGCGUUAAGUCGACCGCCCGGGGAGUACGGCCGCAAGGGUAAAACUCAAAUGAAUUGGCGGGGGCCCGCACAAGCGGUGGAACAUGUGGUUUAAUUCCAUGCAACGCCAAAAACCUUACCUACUCUUGACAUCCAGAGAACUUAGCAGAAAUGCUUUGGUGCCUUCCGGAACUCUGAGACCGGGGCUGCAUGGCUGUCGUCAGCUCGUGUUGUGAAAUGGUGGGUUAAGUCCCGCAACGAGCGCAACCCUUAUCCUUU
rnacentral:rRNA from 1 species